UUUUCCUUAUCAGUUAAGACACAGGAAUCAGGUCACUGAUAAGUUGAAACUGAUUAACUGUACUGUUAACAAAUGUCAACUUCAGUUUUCACCACAUUCUCUGUUUGAAAGAUCUAAGAUGAAGCCACACUUUCAAUAUAACAUUAUCUCUGUAGAAGGUCACAUUUUAUCUUAACUAUAUUUUACCUCCCGUGUGGGUGACUUUCUCAGCAAAACCUCCUGACUCCAUCUAGGUGGCAGGUCACUCCGUGCCCUUAGAGUGGGCUGGCAGCUUUGACUUCCUGAAAGCUGCAGCUCUAAGAGGAAUGGUGCACAUCUCUCUGCAGCCAGUUUUACUGCUGAUAGCUCAGUGUCACUGCUUUGAAAUGGAUACAUACUGAGUGCUUAAGUGUACUCCAGGCUCUGUGUGCAGGGGCUUUGCACAUGCUCUCUCGUGCUCAGAUCAGGGCCUAUGGGAGGCUCAGAGAGGCUCACUGUUACCUUACCCGAGGCCACAGCCAGUACAAGAUAAAGUCAGCCCCCAAAGCCUCCACAACUGGACUUUUUCCACGUGCCACCACGUGCCUGUCUCAGGUGGCUGUAAUACAGAUCUGUGGACACUUGUUGCAGUUAUUAGAAUCCUGAACAAACCAACUUUAAUCAUCUAUGUGAUUUUUUCAAAAAAUGUUGGUGACUCUUGAAUAAUCAGGAUAUGCCGUCAGCCAAAGAAUUCUCUGAUACACAAGAAAGAUCAUAAGCUUGAGAUGCAACCUGGUUUUCCUCUUACUGGUAGUGUGACUUUGGGCAAAUUCCCUAAUAUCUCUAACUCUCAUGCAAAGGGUAGAAUUAUCAAUACUAAAGAAGAAUCUAUGUAAGGAGUCAACCAUAUUAAUGAAUACUGAUGGCUUUCUGCCCCAUUAUAUACUCAACCAGUUCUACUCACUCCAGCUAUGUUAAAAACAACUUCAAAAUUUAUUUUCUUUCAUAUUUUCUUCAAAACCUCAGUCUCACCAGUGGAACCAAAUCACCUGUUCUCCUGUGGUCACCCUACAUAAGAGAUGAAACUCUACAGCAGAACCCAGCUCCAGACUACACGCUCUUCCUAUGCCUUUUCUUUAAUCAGUUGCUAGCUCCACAUUAUUGAAUCAGCUGUGAGUGUUUAUUCGGGUCACACUCAAAUGGAUGAAUUUUAUCAGGUAAAAUCCCAGAAUUCACAUCUUUUAAAUUCCUGUUAAUUUUCACAGUCUUUCCAUAGCCAAAUGCUAUGUUCUACACAUUCUUAUUACUCUGAAACAUUAUUUCAAAACAGAUGUGGUGGCUACAUGGAAUUAUAAACAUUCCUAAUUUUUUCCAAAUGUUUGCGGAAAUGAGUUAUGGAAGACUAGUUUUGAAUUUGCAAGUUCAAUUUACAGUGAAAGAAAUCAAAAGCUAUGUUGUCACAGAGACUUCUUUACUCGAGAGGCACUGUGAGAGAUGGUGUGUGCCACCCAUGAUGUGACUCACAGCCACGUCUUUUAGUCAUUUAGUAGAUAGACAAGUAUUAUCCGAAAAACUCCAGAAAAUUGGUAUUGCCAGAAUUGGUAUUAUUUAUUAUCCAGUCUGACAUUUUCUUCUUUAAUUGGGGAGUUUAGUCCAUUUAUUUUAAUGGACAAAUUGACAUUGUGUGUUUGUGUCUAUCAUCUUGCUAUUUGUCUCCUGUUUAUUGAUCUUUACUCAUCAUUUCUUGACUUCUUUCGGAUUAAUUAUUUUUGUAUUGCAUUUUUUUCCUCUAUUGGCUGAUUGUCUCCACCUCUUUGUUUUAUUUGUAUUAUUGUUACUGGUUGCUAGGAUUUACAAUAUGCAUUUUAACUUAUCGUAAUCUAACCUUCAAAUAGUUUAUACAUCGAAAUAAAAUGAAGGAACGUGAAAGAGUACA
rnacentral:lncRNA from 1 species